rnacentral:rRNA from 1 species
UACGAAGGUGGCAAGCGUUGUUCGGAUUUACUGGGCGUACAGGGAGCGUAGGCGGUUGGAUAAGCCCUCCGUGAAAUCUCCAGGCUUAACCUGGAAAGUGCAGAGGGGACUGUUCAGCUAGCGGAUGGGAGAGGAGCGCGGAAUUCCCGGUGUAGCGGUGAAAUGCGUAGAGAUCGGGAGGAAGGCCGGUGGCGAAGGCGGCGCUCUGGAACAUUUCUGACGCUGAGGCUCGAAAGCGUGGGGAGCAAACAGG